rnacentral:lncRNA from 1 species
GCUGGAACUCGAGAGAGCUGGCUCACGCGUGAGGCGGGCUAAAGAAGAGCUGGGAUCUGUUCAGCUGGAAAGAGAUGAAUUUGUAUAAAAUAAUGAUGAAAAUUAUAAUAAGUGCUAUGGAUAAAAUAUUUAAUCAUGCAAAUGUUAACACCUAUCAUUUAUCAUUAUUUUGCUAACAUUAGGCUAAGUUAAUUUGUACUUAGAUCGCACUUUUGUGCUCUCAUAAGUAGGGAUGAAUAUUUUGUGAGGUUU